UUCUGUGAACUCGAUGAGUAGGGCGGGACACGUGACAUCCUGUCUGAAUAUGGGGGGACCAUCCUCCAAGGCUAAAUACUCCUGACUGACCGAUAGUGAACCAGUACCGUGAGGGAAAGGCGAAAAGAACCCCGGCGAGGGGAGUGAAAUAGAACCUGAAACCGUGUACGUACAAGCAGUGGGAGCACCUUCGUGGUGUGACUGCGUACCUUUUGUAUAAUGGGUCAGCGACUUAUAUUUUGUAGCAAGGUUAACCGAAUAGGGGAGCCGUAGGGAAACCGAGUCUUAACUGGGCGUCUAGUUGCAAGGUAUAGACCCGAAACCCGGUGAUCUAGCCAUGGGCAGGUUGAAGGUUGGGUAACACUAACUGGAGGACCGAACCGACUAAUGUUGAAAAAUUAGCGGAUGACUUGUGGCUGGGGGUGAAAGGCCAAUCAAACCGGGAGAUAGCUGGUUCUCCCCGAAAGCUAUUUAGGUAGCGCCUCGUGAACUCAUCUUCGGGGGUAGAGCACUGUUUCGGCUAGGGGGUCAUCCCGACUUACCAAACCGAUGCAAACUCCGAAUACCGAAGAAUGUUAUCACGGGAGACACACGGCGGGUGCUAACGUCCGUCGUGAAGAGGGAAACAACCCAGACCGCCAGCUAAGGUCCCAAAGUCAUGGUUAAGUGGGAAACGAUGUGGGAAGGCAUAGACAGCCAGGAUGUUGGCUUAGAAGCAGCCAUCAUUUAAAGAAAGCGUAAUAGCUCACUGGUCGAGUCGGCCUGCGCGGAAGAUGUAACGGGGCUAAACCAUGCACCGAAGCUGCGGCAGCGACGCUUAGGCGUUGUUGGGUAGGGGAGCGUUCUGUAAGCCGUUGAAGGUGGCCUGUGAGGGCUGCUGGAGGUAUCAGAAGUGCGAAUGCUGACAUAAGUAACGAUAAUGCGGGUGAAAAACCCGCACGCCGGAAGACCAAGGGUUCCUGUCCAACGUUAAUCGGGGCAGGGUGAGUCGACCCCUAAGGCGAGGCUGAAAAGCGUAGUCGAUGGGAAACAGGUUAAUAUUCCUGUACUUGGUGUUACUGCGAAGGGGGGACGGAGAAGGCUAGGCUAGCCGGGCGACGGUUGUCCCGGUUUAAGCAUGUAGGCGGAGUGACUUGGUAAAUCCGGUUGCUUAUCAACGCUGAGGUGUGAUGACGAUGCACUACGGUGCAGAAGUAGUUGAUGCCAAGCUUCCAGGAAAAGCCUCUAAGCAUCAGGUAACAUUGAAUCGUACCCCAAACCGACACAGGUGGUCAGGUAGAGAAUACUCAGGCGCUUGAGAGAACUCGGGUGAAGGAACUAGGCAAAAUGGUGCCGUAACUUCGGGAGAAGGCACGCUGGCAUUAGGUAAAGAGACUUGCUCUCGGCGCCGAAGCCAGUCGCAGAUACCAGCUGGCUGCAACUGUUUAAUAAAAACACAGCACUGUGCAAACACGAAAGUGGACGUAUACGGUGUGACGCCUGCCCGGUGCUGGAAGGUUAAUUGAUGGGGUCAGCCGCAAGGCGAAGCUCUUGAUCGAAGCCCCAGUAAACGGCGGCCGUAACUAUAACGGUCCUAAGGUAGCGAAAUUCCUUGUCGGGUAAGUUCCGACCUGCACGAAUGGCGUAAUGAUGGCCAGGCUGUCUCCACCCGAGACUCAGUGAAAUUGAACUCGCUGUGAAGAUGCAGUGUACCCGCGGCAAGACGGAAAGACCCCGUGAACCUUUACUAUAGCUUGACACUGAACAUUGAGCCUUGAUGUGUAGGAUAGGUGGGAGGCAUUGAAGUGUGGACGCCAGUCUGCAUGGAGCCAACCUUGAAAUACCACCCUUUAAUGUUUGAUGUUCUAACUCGGCCCCGUAAUCCGGGGUGAGGACAGUGUCUGGUGGGUAGUUUGACUGGGGCGGUCUCCUCCCAAAGAGUAACGGAGGAGCACGAAGGUUAGCUAAUCACGGUCGGACAUCGUGAGGUUAGUGCAAAGGCAUAAGCUAGCUUGACUGCGAGAGUGACGGCUCGAGCAGGUACGAAAGUAGGUCUUAGUGAUCCGGUGGUUCUGAAUGGAAGGGCCAUCGCUCAACGGAUAAAAGGUACUCCGGGGAUAACAGGCUGAUACCGCCCAAGAGUUCAUAUCGACGGCGGUGUUUGGCACCUCGAUGUCGGCUCAUCACAUCCUGGGGCUGAAGUAGGUCCCAAGGGUAUGGCUGUUCGCCAUUUAAAGUGGUACGCGAGCUGGGUUUAGAACGUCGUGAGACAGUUCGGUCCCUAUCUGCCGUGGGCGUUGGAAGAUUGAGAGGGGCUGCUCCUAGUACGAGAGGACCGGAGUGGACGAAUCACUGGUGUUCGGGUUGUCAUGCCAAUGGCAUUGCCCGGUAGCUAAAUUCGGAAGAGAUAACCGCUGAAAGCAUCUAAGCGGGAAACUUGCCUCGAGAUGAGUCUUCCCUGGGGCUUUAAGCCCCCUGAAGGAACGUUAAAGACUAUGACGUUGAUAGGCUGGGUGUGUAAGUGCAGCGAUGCAUUGAGCUAACCAGUACUAAUGAUCCGUGAGGCUUAACCUUACAACACCAAAGGUGUUUUG
rnacentral:rRNA from 1 species